rnacentral:rRNA from 1 species
AAGAUGAUCAGGUAGAUAGGUUUGGAGUGGAAGUGUAGCGAUACAUGGAGCGGACAAAUACUAAUCGAUCGAGGACUUAACCAAAA